rnacentral:rRNA from 1 species
CCUACGGGAGGCAGCAGUGAGGAAUAUUGGUCAAUGGGCGCUAGCCUGAACCAGCCAAGUAGCGUGAAGGAUGAAGGCUCUAUGGGUCGUAAACUUCUUUUAUAUAAGAAUAAAGUGCAGUAUGUAUACUGUUUUGUAUGUAUUAUAUGAAUAAGGAUCGGCUAACUCCGUGCCAGCAGCCGCGGUAAUACGGAGGAUCCGAGCGUUAUCCGGAUUUAUUGGGUUUAAAGGGAGCGUAGGUGGACUGGUAAGUCAGUUGUGAAAGUUUGCGGCUCAACCGUAAAAUUGCAGUUGAUACUGUCAGUCUUGAGUACAGUAGAGGUGGGCGGAAUUCGUGGUGUAGCGGUGAAAUGCUUAGAUAUCACGAAGAACUCCGAUUGCGAAGGCAGCUCACUGGACUGCAACUGACACUGAUGCUCGAAAGUGUGGGUAUCAAACA